UACGUAGGGUGCAAGCGUUGUCCGGAAUUAUUGGGCGUAAAGAGCUCGUAGGUGGUUUGUCGCGUUGUCCGUGAAAACUCACAACUCAAUUGUGGGCGUGCGGGCGAUACGGGCAGACUGGAGUACUGCAGGGGAGACUGGAAUUCCUGGUGUAGCGGUGGAAUGCGCAGAUAUCAGGAAGAACACCAAUGGCGAAGGCAGCUCUCUAGUACGGUACUGACGCUGAGACGCGAAAGCGUGGGGAGCGAACAGG
rnacentral:rRNA from 1 species